UGACUACUCCCUCCAUUCGGAAUUACUUGUCUCGGAAAUGGAUGUAUCUAGAACUAAAAUACAUCUAGAUACAUCCAUUUCUGUGACAAGUAAUUCUGAACGGAGGGAGUAGUUA
rnacentral:pre_miRNA from 1 species